AGCAUAUCAAUAAGCGGAGGAAAAGAAACCAACAGGGAUUGCCCCAGUAACGGCGAGUGAAGCGGCAACAGCUCAAAUUUGAAAUCUGGCCCCAGGCCCGAGUUGUAAUUUGCAGAGGAUGCUUCGGGCGCGACGCCUUCCAAGUCCCCUGGAACGGGGCGCCUUAGAGGGUGAGAGCCCCGUACGGUUGGACGUCAAGCCUGUGUGAAGCUCCUUCGACGAGUCGAGUAGUUUGGGAAUGCUGCUCAAAAUGGGAGGUAGACCCCUUCUAAAGCUAAAUACCGGCCAGAGACCGAUAGCGCACAAGUAGAGUGAUCGAAAGAUGAAAAGCACUUUGAAAAGAGGGUUAAACAGCACGUGAAAUUGUUGAAAGGGAAGCGCUCGUGACCAGACUUGCGCCGGGGCGAUCAUCUGGCGUUCUCGCCGGUGCACUCGCCCCGGCUCAGGCCAGCGUCGGUUCGGGAGGGGGGACAAAGGCGUCGGGGAUGUGGCUCCCUCGGGAGUGUUAUAGCCCGGCGUGCAAUGCCCCCGCCCGGACCGAGGUUCGCGCUCUGCAAGGACGCUGGCGUAAUGGUCACCAGCGGCCCGUCUUGAAACACGGACCAAGGAGUCGAGGUUCUGCGCGAGUGUUUGGGUGUCAAACCCGCACGCGUAAUGAAAGUGAACGUAGGUGGGAGCCUCGGCGCACCACCGACCGAUCCUGAUGUUCUCGGAUGGAUUUGAGUAGGAGCGUAGGGCCUCGGACCCGAAAGAUGGUGAACUAUGCUUGGAUAGGGUGAAGCCAGAGGAAACUCUGGUGGAGGCUCGCAGCGGUUCUGACGUGCAAAUCGAUCGUCAAAUCUGAGCAUGGGGCGAAAGACUAAUCGAACCAUCUAGUAGCUGGUUACCGCCGAU
rnacentral:rRNA from 1 species